GCCCCUAGUAGUAUGGUGGUUAUGACACUCGGCUUGUAAUCGAAUGGGAUUGGGUUCGAAUCCCGACUAAGGCA